UACGUAGGGGGCAAGCGUUGUCCGGAUUUAUUGGGCGUAAAGAGCGUGUAGGCGGCCGUACAGGUCAGCUGUGAAAACUCGAGGCUCAACCUCGAGACGUCGGUUGAAACCGUACGGCUAGAGUCCGGAAGAGGAGAGUGGAAUUCCCGGUGUAGCGGUGAAAUUCGUAGAUAUCGGGAGGAACACCAGUGGCGAAGGCGGCGACCUGGGCCAAUAUUGACGCUGAGGUGCGAAAGCGUGGGGAGCAAACAGG
rnacentral:rRNA from 1 species